rnacentral:rRNA from 1 species
CGGGGUGAGUAAUGCUUGGGAAUCUAGCUUAUGGAGGGGGAUAACUACGGGAAACUGUAGCUAAUACCGCGUAGAAUCGGGAGAUGAAAGUGUGGGACCUUCGGGCCACAUGCCAUAGGAUGAGCCCAAGUGGGAUUAGGUAGUUGGUGAGGUAAAGGCUCACCAAGCCGACGAUCUCUAGCUGAUCUGAGAGGUUGACCAGCCACACUGGGACUGAGACACGGCCCAG